rnacentral:rRNA from 5 species
UAUACCUAUUCGAAGGGAUAGGGUCGGUUCGGCCGGGUUUCACACAGGUGUUGCAUGGCUGUCGUCAGCUCGUGUCGUGAGAUGUUGGGUUAAGUCCCGCAACGAGCGCAACCCUCAUCCUUAGUUACCAUCAGGUAAUGCUGGGGACUUUAAGGAAACUGCCAGUGAUAAACUGGAGGAAGGUGGGGAUGAUGUCAAGUCAUCAUGGCCCUUAUGGAGUGGGCUACACACGUGCUACAAUGGUGGCUACAAUGGGCUGCAAAGUCGCGAGGCUAAGCUAAUCCCUUAAAAGCCAUCUCAGUUCGGAUUGUACUCUGCAACUCGAGUGCAUGAAGUUGGAAUCGCUAGUAAUCGUGGAUCAGCACGCCACGGUGAAUACGUUCUCGGGUCUUGUACACACUGCCCGUCACGCCAUGGGAAUUGGUUUCACUCGAAGCU